rnacentral:sRNA from 1 species
GCCGGGCACAGUGGCACCUGCCUGUAAUCCCAGUGACUCGGAGGCUGAGGCAGAAAGAUCACAAGUUCAAAGCCAGCCUCAGCAACUUAGUGAGAUCUGUCUCCA